rnacentral:rRNA from 1 species
GAUGAACGCUGGCGGCGUGCCUAAUACAUGCAAGUCGAGCGAACGGACGAGAAGCUUGCUUCUCUGAUGUUAGCGGCGGACGGGUGAGUAACACGUGGAUAACCUACCUAUAAGACUGGGAUAACUUCGGGAAACCGGAGCUAAUACCGGAUAAUAUUUUGAACCGCAUGGUUCAAAAGUGAAAGACGGUCUUGCUGUCACUUAUAGAUGGAUCCGCGCUGCAUUAGCUAGUUGGUAAGGUAACGGCUUACCAAGGCAACGAUGCAUAGCCGACCUGAGAGGGUGAUCGGCCACACUGGAACUGAGACAAGGUCCAGACUCCUACGAGAGGCAGCAGUAGGGAAUCUUCCGCAAUGGGCGAAAGCCUGACGGAGCAACGCCGCGUGAGUGAUGAAGGUCUUCGGAUCGUAAAACUCUGUUAUUAGGGAAGAACAUAUGUGUAAGUAACUGUGCACAUCUUGACGGUACCUAAUCAGAAAGCCACGGCUAACUACGUG